GGCGAAUAGCGGCGGCGGCGCGGGGAGCGCAGCGGAGGUUUUCCUGGUUUCGGACCCCAGCGGCCGGAUGGUGAAAUCCUCCCUGCAGCGGAUCCUCAACAGCCACUGCUUCGCCAGAGAGAAGGAAGGGGAUAAAGCCAGCGCCACCAUCCACGCUAGCCUCAUCAUGCCGCUCCUCAGUCUCCAUAGCCGGGGCGGCUGCAGCAGCGAGAGUUCCAGGGUCUCCUUCAAUUGCUGUAGUAACCUGGGUCCGGGGCCUCGGUGGUGCUCCUGAUGUCCCUCACCCACCCCUGAAGAUCCCAGGUGGGCGAGGGAAUAGCCAGUGGGAUCACAGUCUUUCAGCUAACUUAUUGUACUCUGAUAAUCGGCUGAAUGUAACAGAGGAAUUAACGUCUAACAACAAGACGAGGAUUCUUAAUGUCCAGUCCAGGCUCACAGAUGCAAACACAUUACCUGGAGAGCAGUGCUGAGUGGCCGCAGCCUAUACAUCGAGAUCCCGGGCGGUGCGCUGCCCGAGGAGAGUAAAGACAGUUUUGCAGUUCUUCUCGAGUUUGCAGAGGAGCAGCUCCAAUCCGACCAUGUCUUCAUCUGCUUCCACAAGAACCGAGAUGACAGAGCUGCCUUGCUCCGCACCUUCAGCUUUUUGGGCUUUGAGAUUGUGAGACCAGGGCAUCCCCUCGUCCCCAAGAGACCCGACGCUUGCUUCAUGGCCUACACUUUUGAGAGAGAGUCUUCUGGUGAGGAAGAAUAGUAAUGGCAGUGGCCUGCUGGCCUUUCGCUCCUGGGGAGAUGGGGCUGGAGGUCGGAGCCCCCUCCUCGGCAGUCCCUGCUGUUGCUGUGGGUUGGAGGGCCACUGCUGUGCUGGGGUGGAAAUGUCAGACUUGUUAUCUCUUCUGGGUUUGUCCGCAUGUUGUAAUUGUGCAAAUAAAUGCUCACUCCAAAUUA